AUUGAACGCUGGCGGCAUGCCUUACACAUGCAAGUCGAGCGGCAGCGCGGGGGCGAACCCUGGCGGCGAGCGGCGAACGGGUGAGUAAUGCAUCGGAACGUGUCCUCUUGUGGGGGAGUAACCAGUCGAAAGACUGGCUAAUACCGCAUGAGAUCGAGAGAUGAAAGCGGGGACCGCAAGGCCUCGCGCGAGAGGAGCGGCCGAUGCCCGAUUAGCUAGUUGGUGGGGUAAUGGCCUACCAAGGCGACGAUCGGUAGCUGGUCUGAGAGGACGACCAGCCACACUGGGACUGAGACACGGCCCAGACUCCUAC
rnacentral:rRNA from 1 species